GGUUUGACAAGCUUGUUGUAACUUAGAAAUGUAUUUAAUACACCUAGGCUACAGAAUAUCAUAGGUUAGCCUAGCCUACUUUAAAUACGCCCAGAACACUUAUAUUAGUGUACUUGGGCAAAAUCACCUAACACAAAGCCUAUUUAGUAAUAAAGUGCUGAAUAUCUCAUGUAAUUUAUUGAAUACUGUACUGAAAGUGAAAAACGGAAUGGUUAUAUGAGUACUUAAAAUGCAGUUUCUACUGACUGACUUUUACACCAUCUUAAAAUUGAAAAAUUUUAAGUAGAGAACUGUCUGUAUUGUAUUCUUGAAAUCUGCUAAAAGAGCAGGCCUUAAAAGUUCUCACUACACACCCAGGUAACUAUGUGAAGUGAUGGAGGUGUCGACUAACUUGAUAUCACUUCACAAUGUUUACAUAUAUCAAAGCAUUGUAACUCAAUUGCAGAUUCAGUCACUCGAUGCUUGCCGAGUCCAGUUUACAAGGGUGAGGUCUGAUAUAAAGAAAGUGACUUUUUAAUCGAAAGUUUAGCUUAUGGAAAGAAGUCCAGGCUCUUGCCUUUAAAGGCACUGCUUCACUUUUGGGGCAGAAAGCCAGAGCUUUUAAAGGGGAACUUGGCGUGAAUGGCAGGCAGGGAAGGAGCAGUUGGGGGUCUAGGCGACUUGCUUUGUUGCCUUAUCUACCCAGGGGUUGAGCUAGUGCUAGACUGUAAGGUGGCUGUGGUCUGGAGAUACUCUCCAGAUGGGAGAGAGUUUCCUGUGGGCAAACUUUAGGUUGUAAAUUGACUCUUGUCUCUAGAGACAAUCUUCUGGUGGGAGAGAUUUCCAGCUCUGGGGCUUCUAGGUAUGCACACAGUUAGAUGAGCUUGUCCUGUAGUGUCUGGUGAAGGGAAGGUAGAGGUUCUAAUUGCAUUUCUAAAGAGUUAAGUGGGAAGUGGGGAACAGGGGCAGAGGAGGAAAGAGAAAAAAAGAAAAAAAAUUUAAAAAAUAACUCGUUCUCUUUCUCUUAGGGAAAUGGCAGUUCUGGGUUACAGCAUCCCAUUGUACACAAAACUUGUCUAACCCACGGCCCAUGAGCUGCAAGAAGCCCAGGAAGGCUUUGACUGUGGCUCAACACAUUCAAAGAAAGUUUGUAAACUUUCUUUAAACAUUAUGAGAUUAUUUUGCGGUUUUUUUUUUUUAAGCUCAUCAGCUGUCAUUAGUGUUAGUGUAUUUUAUGUGUGAUCCAAAACAAUUCUUCCUAUGUGGCCCAGGGAAGCCAAAAGAUUGGACACCCUUGCUGUACACCUUAAAUACAGAGUUUUGUGUUUCAAUUUUCCCUCAGUUAAGCUGGGAAAAAGUUGCCAUACCCAAAAAUGACACAUAAAAUAGCUGUGUCAAAUUUUUAUUUUAAUCUUGAAUGUCUUUCUUUUACAAUAAAUAAACUUCUCUCACAUGAUUUUUUAAUAGUUUCAGAGUGUUUCAUUUUAUGGAUAUUUCAGAACUCAAUAAGUUCCUAUUUAUUUAUUUAUUUAUUUGGACACUGUGGCAGCGUCUAAUUUUUGCUAAAUCUUGAGACACAUUCUUAAAUUUCAAAGCUGGAAUUACUGAGUCUAGUGGGUCUUAAGACAUAUUGUUAUCUGCCUCUCAAGAAGGUUUUGACUCACUUCAAAUGAAGUCAAACAUCUUCUCCAUGUAUUUAACAUUCAAAUAUUUUGCAUGUGUGAUUGUUGUCUUUGCUUAUUUUUUGAGUUUUCACUGAGUUACAACAAUUCUUUGGUUUACUAUAAAAAGAGAAAAAAAUCAUUAUGAGCCAAAUGGAUUUUGAGAAAUAUAAUCUGAGUUUUCUCUUUACAGAGGUUUUUGUUUUGUUUUUGCCUAGAGCAUAGGGUUAACUGGACUAAUUUACACUUUUCCAUUAGCUUUAUCUUAUUCAGGAUAAUAUGAGCCAGUUUUCUUAACCCUAAUAGGGCAUAUUUCUGUUUUUUCUUAACUCGUUCUUUUUCUAGUGUAUUGCUAAGUUUUCCAAUUUAGUUCUUGCCUUAAAAAUGACGUUGUCUAACAUUAUAAUUGUAAAAUACUGGAAAAUGGUUUUGUCAUUCUUGCUGCAGGCAGUCAACAACUCAAGGUGACUGACCACUAGGUUAGCUGGAAGUACAUCUUGAUUGGUACAGAUUCCGGUUUCUAAGUGAAUAAGCAGAGAACACACUGAGUGCCUGACGAUGUGACAUGCUAUCAUGUCACAUGAAACUAUCAGAACUUGCUAGGGUUCCAGAUCCUGCACUAGAAAUUCCUCCCAGAUGAGGGUUUUUUUUUUUUUCCCCCUCCUGUGAGAAAUAAACCAGAAGAAAGGAGAAGAUGGAUUUUUGCAAUUUAGUUUCAUGAUUUUAAGGACCAAAUCUCAACUUUAUUUCUCUAGAAUAGGAAAUAGAGAUAUCAUUGUCAUCUUAUGUUUUUUCUCACUUGAUCUGAUCUAUGAUCUGUUGAAACUUGAUCAUCUGUUCUUGCAAGUGAGGUUUGUUGCUACAUUUCUGAACUUCAAAAUUAGAAAAAUAAUAUCCUGAAGCUUCUAAUACUUACAGUUGAGCAGACUUUAUAUUCUGUUUACACUUACCAUUUUACAUAAAUCUUUAUGCCUUUUAUUUAGAAGACAAGAUAAAAAUUAAAAGAGAAAAAAUAUCCCACAUAUACAUAAUACCUCUCUAUGGACUAUUCUUUUGUGGGAUAAGGUAGGUGGGAGAAUGGGAGAGUAGCAGGCCCAUUAGAAUACAAAACAUGUAAGUAACUAUUAUUUUUAAAUUGGGGCCACUUGUACACCAAGAUAUGAUUGCCUUUUUAAGAGAUCCAUGUUCUAGAGAACUGAUUUCCUUAAAUAACUCAUUUCUGUUUCCAAGUUUCUACUCACAAAUGUACUAAUGUCCUAAAGGGCAUGAAGGAUAUAUAUAUAUAUAUAUAUAUAUAUAUAUAUAUGUAGAACAGUGAUACAGUAAAUAUGAACAGUAAUAUAGUAAAUCACUGUUCUUCAAAAUAUAUAUAAACAGAGAUAUAGUAAAUCACUGUUCUUUUAUAAACUGGGACCUUAUUCUAUUUUUUAUCCCUAUAAUAAUAUAUUUUAUAACUUCUGUUUAGAAUAUUGGCAGAUAAUAGAACUUGAUUGCCUGAUUUUCAAUUUAAACACUUAUCAAUCAAAUACAUAAGUACUUGUUCAGGGUGGAGAAAAGUUAAUACUUUAUAUUAUCUAUGUAUCUCUGAAAGACAAGAAAGUUUCUGUACAUUUACAGACUACAAAUAUAGAAGUUAAAGCAAAUGCCUUCUAGCUGGCAUAAUCUUAGGAAAAAAGCAGACUAAAGUAUUAUAAAUUGGUAGCAGAAGAUGUGUAAAGACAAGACAUGAUCACCUAGAUAAUAUAAAUCAAUUUUCUAUUCUUUUGCUGAAGCCUAGACCCCACACGGCAGCCUGAUGUAAUUCCAUUACCAUGCUUAAUUACUUGGCACUUGUAUAGCCUUUUUAUUUUUGUGUUACUGUUAUUCCUGGUAAAUCAUUCAGAAGAAAUAAAUUAGCUUGCCACUCAAAAUUAACUACUAUGGUGCAUUGCUGCCCCACCCCGCAAAAGAUGAGUUGACAGCUACUGGGCGUUAAUCUAGCCAUUUUUUGAUAACAGAGUAUCUCUUUGCACAUAGUUAUGAGAGUUAUAAACAUUCCAAAUGUAAUUAUCUCAGUCCUUUACAACUUGAAAGUCUAAUUAAAGAAAGUUUAAGACACUAUAAAUCUUAAGGAAUUAGGUUUAUAAUGUGGAACCCAGUCAGAGUUUGGGAUUACAUUGGAAAGUGAGUAUAUUGAAAAGGAUUGCAGAAACAUUUCUCUCAGCCAGAAUUUAAUUGCUCAGAAAACUGAAUUUCAGUAGAAUAGAUGAAAAGUGUUAGGCAGAGAGACUCAGACCUAUGACUGCUGAAGAAAGAGCUAAUUCCAUAUCCCUUUUUCUAGAUGCCCUGGAAUACACUUGUGUCAGUGACAAAUGCUGCUUUGCUGUGCUACACCGAGUACAAGGUCGUGGUAAGACAUGACUGGGAAGCAGUUACCAGAGACAAGCAAGGAUAGCGCUUUGACUGCAUCCUCUGCUGGUGGCUUCUGUAGUUAUGCAUAAAAUUUACUCUGAUCUGUUUACUUUUAUAGCCUGUCUUUACUUUGUUUCUUUUAAUAUUAUGCAUGUUUAGGCUAUGCUUUUUCUUUAAAUAUGUGAGCAAAUCUAUUGGUGUAAUGUACUCAUUACCCUAAAACCUAUAUUUUAAUGGACCUGAAGACCAUAAGGUAGAAGAUCAGAAGAAAAAGAAAAUGCAUACAUUUUUAUCUUUAAAACAAUUCACUUUUAAGAUUAUUUUCUUGAAAGGUAUACCUUUGAUGGAGCCGAAUCUGGUUCCUUCAGGCAGAUACAAUAGGAUACAAUAGGAUAGGACUUCUUGGGUAAAAAAGGUGUAGUAAUCUGUGAGUCUCACCGGAAGGAGAAAGGAAAUUAUUCAUUAAUUUGGCUGAGGCCAGGGUAGUAAGCAGAUUUAUUAUAAAUAUUGGCAGCAGAGGAGUACUUGAAAAGUGCUUAUAAAGUUAGAUCAUCUAUUUUUCCAAGCAAUAUUCUUCAUGUCAUUCCACCUUGCAAAAACUUUGUGGAAAGGAAUAGGCAUAUGAAUGAGCAAUGAAUAGACUUUGCAUUAGAUUGGUAAUCUUGCUACUAGUACAUUAAUUUACUUGUAUUACUGAUAUUUUAAGAUAGGAUUUUUACAGAUGUUUAUAUAUUUUUAAAAAGCCUAUUUUUUUCUUUACCCAUUUUCUCAAUUUUUUUAACCUCGAAAACUUUUUCCUCCCUGAGAGAAAUACAUGGGCUAUCUUCAGCACAGAACACAAACUCUGCCUUCUUUUCUCAAGUCCAGUGAUUCAAGUUUGACACACCACACCACGGUGGAUGUGCCUUUCAUGACGCAUCUUCUCAGCAGCACUAGAAGAUACAUCCAAAGUCCUGUGAGCAAGGUCUGUGGUAUCUGUUUAUUAUGGCAGCCCAGUGAGACUAAGACAGGCCAUCAAAAGACGUGAACGUUUUGGACCUUCUCUUGGGCCCUAGUAAACAGAAAUCAGAAGGAAGAAAACUUUGCUAAUGCUCUGCCAAGCCUCACUUUUCUGUCAUGAUUGGAAGGUUUGAUGUUAUCCAGAAUUUCUCAUGGAAGAUGGAAGAGCUGCAGCAUUACAAUGAAAGCCAUCUUGCAACAGCCUGAGUUCCUUUUUCUUUUACCUGAGUCAGGAACAAAAAAAUAUUCAUGUAUAUUCCCCAAAAGGACAAAAAAGGAUCCAAUGAAAGGGCUAGGUUGUAGAAAGGUCAGAGCAUUUUAGUGCUAAAUGACAACUAAAAUCACUCUCUCUGCACACCUUACAUUGUAAAAGAGAAAGUUAAGACCCAGAAAAAGAUCAAGAGUUUUUCAUUGGUCGUUACGAUAUUAAAGAAGUUUUGAAAUAUAUGGCUAGCUUUCUCACAUCUAUGAGCUGAUUAGACCUCAGCCAAAGACUUCACGGGAGCCCUCUGCAAGUUUCUAGAGUUCUUUGUGCAGCUUUUCCUCUUGGGUUCUCUGACUUGCAAACUCAAACCGCCAGGCUUUUCUUAGACUCAGCUCUGCCUCCUCAUCUCAGAGAGACCCUACAGUGGGGCCUGGGAACCCUCCAGGCUCUGAGCUGGACAAUGGAGCUCACCUCCAUUUUGUUUGAUUCCUCUCUCUCGGCAAUCACUCUUCUGUGCUACUGAUGUCCGGUGUCUGAAAUUCAUUUUUUUCAUAUCUUUUGUUGUUUGCUUGGUGUCAUUUCCUGCAGGAGGGUAAAUCUGGCUCCUGUUGUUCCAUCUGUCCUCCAGCAGCUUCCCAUACAGGCAGCUCACUUCACUUCAUUUUCAAUUUUAAUGACUUCUGUUCUUUAUUACGCCUUUUGUCUACUUUUUUUUUUGUUUUGGUUAUUCUUCUUGUUCUUUUUCUAACUUCUUGAGUUCAUAUUAAGUUAGUUAGCUUUUAGUCCUUCUAAGUCAAUUACUGAAUGUUUUGAAGUUUUCACUUUGUGUUACUUUAUAUUUUUUAGGCUACUUAUUAAACUAAACCACGUUCUGAACUGUUACUGCUACUGGAAACCAGUCCCGAUCCAGACCCCAAAAGAGGAUUCUUGGAUCUUGCACAAGAAAGAAAGGACACAGUGAAGGAGUGAGAUGUGAAGGUGCUCUGUCAUUGCCUCAGUCAAGACUUUCAUGGUACAUUGGAAGAAAGAGAAGCGUGAACAAAUUGCAUGAUACUUGAGGUCAUGCUGUGUACCUGUAUUGAACAAGAAUAAGGGAAGAAAGCUGGGAACCUGGAUCUCCCAUAUAUUGGAAGUUUUGUAAAAACCUUGAGGGUCCCUUCCACUACAUAUGGGGAUUAUGGGAACUGCAAUUCAAGAUGAGAUUUGAGUGAGGACACAGCCAAACCACAUGGUAAGUCCUGGUGGGAACCGUGGUCAUUGCUAUAUAGGAUGACUAUUACAGUUCUAGAAAUAAACUCUUUCCUAGAG